AUCAUUAUUUCAAAUGAAUUGGCUUUAUGGGGCCUGCACAAUCAUCUGUAGAUAAAAAUGACCUCUUAUAUUUCUGGGUGACUAGACACAAGCCUUAAUUAAUUUUUAAAAAGGAAUUCUAUGCAGAAGGGACAGUGUUUCUGCCUGUCUUCUUUCACACUUUGCACACCCAGGCCAUCUGGAGUGAAACUGAAGUCUGCCCAGAGCUGCUGGAAGCCCCAGCUGCCCUGCUGCCCACGGAGUCCUCUGAGGACGACUCCAGAGUCCCUCAACUCCUUGGAGGAGAUAAGCAGCCAACACAGUGUUGUUCAGCAGAUGCCACCGUCUGCCAUGCCCUGGAAUUUGAACCACCAUCUUCUGGAAUUUGAAUCACCAUCUUCUGGACUGACUCAAAUGCAGAGGAAGCCAGGCCUGCUGCUAACAUUUCUGAGAGGCGGCAAGAGUAUAAAUGGAGAUCCACAUAUGUAUAAAUAAAGAGUGUGAAUCAAGCUAACAAACUGUUUAAUAAAAUAUGAUCUACCCUCUUAGCUUGACAAAUCAACUUUUCAAACACCUGGAAGAACAAGUUUGCACUCAGGAUUCUCAGACUCCUCAGAGUUCUGCACUGGGAUGUGGAAGGGCUGUGCAAGCCAGCCCUUGGGUCCCUGAUCCCUGUCUCCUGGCCUGUGCCCGUCUCUUCUCAGCCUGGCUCCAACUCCCAUUGAGAGGAAGUUCUUGUACACAUAUGAUACUGCAGCCCCUAUGUCUAAUAUUUAUCCAUACCUUCUGCAAACAGCCACUGUGUGACCACCCUUGGGCUUCCCAGGGGU
rnacentral:lncRNA from 1 species